rnacentral:rRNA from 1 species
UACGGGAGGCAGCAGUGGGGAAUAUUGCACAAUGGGCGCAAGCCUGAUGCAGCGACGCCGCGUGAGGGAUGACGGCCUUCGGGUUGUAAACCUCUUUCAGUAGGGAAGAAGCGAAAGUGACGGUACCUGCAGAAGAAGCACCGGCUAACUACGUGCCAGCAGCCGCGGUAAUACGUAGGGUGCGAGCGUUAUCCGGAAUUAUUGGGCGUAAAGAGCUCGUAGGCGGUUUGUCGCGUCUGUCGUGAAAGUCCGGGGCUUAACCCCGGAUCUGCGGUGGGUACGGGCAGACUAGAGUGCAGUAGGGGAGACUGGAAUUCCUGGUGUAGCGGUGGAAUGCGCAGAUAUCAGGAGGAACACCGAUGGCGAAGGCAGGUCUCUGGGCUGUAACUGACGCUGAGGAGCGAAAGCAUGGGGAGCGAACAGGAUUAGAUACCCUGGUAGUCCAUGCCGUAAACGUUGGGCACUAGGUGUGGGGACCAUUCCACGGUUUCCGCGCCGCAGCUAACGCAUUAAGUGCCCCGCCUGGGGAGUACGGCCGCAAGGCUAAAACUCAAAGGAAUUGACGGGGGCCCGCACAAGCGGCGGAGCAUGCGGAUUAAUUCGAUGCAACGCGAAGAACCUUACCAAGGCUUGACAUGUUCUCGAUCGCCGUAGAGAUACGGUUUCCCCUUUGGGGCGGGUUCACAGGU